CGUGUAGGCGGCCCGGUAAGUCCGCUGUGAAAGUCGGGGGCUCAACCCUUGAAUGCCGGUGGAUACUGUCGGGCUCGAGUACGGAAGAGGCGAGUGGAAUUCCUGGUGUAGCGGUGAGAUGCGCAGAUAUCAGGAGGAACGCCAAUUGCGAAGGCAGCUCGCUGGGACGUUACUGACGCUGAGAGCGAAAGCGUGGGGAGCAAACA
rnacentral:rRNA from 1 species